UACGUAGGGUGCAAGCGUUGUCCGGAAUUAUUGGGCGUAAAGAGCUCGUAGGCGGUCUGUCGCGUCGGAUGUGAAAACCCAGGGCUCAACCUGGGACCUGCAUUCGAUACGGGCAGACUAGAGUUCGGUAGGGGAGACGUGGAAUUCCUGGUGUAGCGGUGAAAUGCGCAGAUAUCAGGAGGAACACCGGUGGCGAAGGCGGGUCUCUGGGCCGAUACUGACGCUGAGGAGCGAAAGCGUGGGGAGCGAACAGG
rnacentral:rRNA from 1 species